rnacentral:rRNA from 1 species
AUUGAACGCUGGCGGCAGGCCUAACACAUGCAAGUCGAGCGGUAGAGAGGUGCUUGCAUCUCUUGAGAGCGGCGGACGGGUGAGUAAUGCCUAGGAAUCUGCCUAGUGGUGGGGGAUAACGUUCGGAAACGGACGCUAAUACCGCAUACGUCCUACGGGAGAAAGCGGGGGAUCUUCGGACCUCGCGCCAUUAGAUGAGCCUAGGUCGGAUUAGCUAGUUGGUGAGGUAAUGGCUCACCAAGGCGACGAUCCGUAACUGGUCUGAGAGGAUGAUCAGUCACACUGGAACUGAGACACGGUCCAGACUCCUACGGGAGGCAGCAGUGGGGAAUAUUGGACAAUGGGCGAAAGCCUGAUCCAGCCAUGCCGCGUGUGUGAAGAAGGUCUUCGGAUUGUAAAGCACUUUAAGUUGGGAGGAAGGGUAGUAACCUAAUACGUUGCUACUUUGACGUUACCGACAGAAUAAACAACCGGCUAACUUCGUGCCAGCAGCC